UACGAAGGGGGCUAGCGUUGUUCGGAAUUACUGGGCGUAAAGGGCGCGUAGGCGGCCUUGAUAGUUGGGCGUGAAAGGCCUGGGCUUAACCCAGGAACUGCGUUCAAUACUGUAAGGCUAGAGUGUGGGAGAGGUUGGUGGAAUUCCCAGUGUAGAGGUGAAAUUCGUAGAUAUUGGGAAGAACACCGGUGGCGAAGGCGGCCAACUGGACCACAACUGACGCUGAGGCGCGAAAGCGUGGGGAGCAAACAGGAUUAGAUACCCUGGUAGUCCACGCUGUAAACUAUGUGUGCUUGACGCUGGGGGGCAUAGCCCUUCGGUGUCGUAGCUAACGCGGUAAGCACACCGCCUGGGGAGUACGGUCGCAAGAUUAAA
rnacentral:rRNA from 1 species